AUUUGGAGCUGGUCAGUGAAGGAUGUGCGUUGGGUUUGCUGGUAUUCUGGGUUUCGGAUGCUAAGAAUAGCCGCUACUUCAAGAAGGUUUACAUAUCAGGCAGACGCACGGCGCCGGCUUGUGGUAUGAAAAUAAAAACCGCGAUUAGAAUUAGGUAAGUACCGUCGAGAUUACGAAGACGUGCCAGUCAUGAAGCGUUUUAUAUGUGUAUCUAUAGCUAACUAGGUUGCGGGGGGAGGGGGCAGACGUGGAGAAACGGACCCGUAAGACCGUUCCGCUAAUUUAAUUUCGGCUGCGUUCUCGACCUCUCGUCGAGGUAAUCGAACUGGGGGAAAACGGCUAGCUAGGAAGCUCGCUAGUAUCUAGAAGUGCUAGACCAGUGGUCACCGAACCUCUUCCUUCGAGAUCUACCCUCCUGCAGGCUUCAUCUCCAACCCAAAUCUACGAUCAAGAACGUGUUCCGGCGACGAUUUUAGAUGGUCACGUGGGCACCGUUAUGGUUGGAGCUGAAGUCUUCAGGAAGGUAGAUAUCCAGGAGCACUGCGCCUGUGUGUAGACUAACACGGGCUCGAUCGCUAGCUUUAACGGCGGUAAGUUAAAGAUCAUCGGUGCUCAGGUCCAGGAACCAAUCCCCUGCAGUGCUUUUCAGAACUCGGGUGACCCGAUGACCGAGCCUUUCAACAUGCUAAUGCUAAGCUGCGUAACGGUCUAGGCCUGACGGUGGGAUUUCAGGAAGUGUCGUCAGUGUCAGAACCAACUGAAGCGACGCAGGCCUAAUGGUGCGUGGCCUGUUCCCGUGCUUGUGCGCACACAUCUGCGCUGAUUGACAGGCGAGAAGCGUUUAUUACACUCCGCCGCUUUGAAACAAGAUGGCCUGCGUCAGACACGCUCCCUCAGGGUGGGUGACCUUUGACCUUGACCUUUUCUCCUCCCCGCAGGUUAACUGUAGGAAUCCGUCCGCGGACGGAAGAAUCGUCUCGGCGCGACAGUCGAUGAAAAGAGCAGCAACGAUUAAGUCUGAUCUGCGACUGAAUUUCAAACCGGAGACGUGUUAGCGUUAGCAUUAGCCGAGCUAGUUAGCUUAACUAACAAUAAAAAUUUCCACGGUAGCUAGUUAGCACUACGUUCAUACUAGCAAACAGAAGACGACGGUUUUAUUUUUGACGUACGUAACGAGGAGACGUGAUUUUCCACGACUUUUUCGAUUUCCUCAGACCUGUGCGAAUUAUCCAAAAAUCCGAGCUGUCUCGGUCGAUUCCUCGGACCGAUCCUGUAGCGCGUGUUUCUUCAGUUCCUAGCUCGCAGCUUCAGAUCCAACCUGCAAAUAAUUCCCGUUUACGCAGAAACGCGGUUCUGAGCGCGG
ensembl:lncRNA